rnacentral:lncRNA from 1 species
GUAAAAAAAACUCUGUUUUCCCCACUGUCUCCAAUAAAGCAUACAUGGCAGCAAAAAUAUAUCUUCAGGAAAUGCUAAAAAUAAAACAAUUAAGGGUGGUGCCGUUGGCGUACCAGAAUUCCACCCUCUCUUCCACCGAUGUUGUUUGGUCCGUCCACAGGCUCUCCAGAUUCACCUUUGAUGCCCUUUCCCGUCUUCCAUCUCCUACUCUUUUCUUAUCUUUCUGGACUGACAUCCGCACCCACAGGAAGAUGCUGAGACCCAGGGAGACAGAAGCGGUCAUUGCUAGAGCCCACAGAAUGACGAAACAGACUAGUCUGCUAGGGCCGUGCAGCACAGACGCCUGCAUCUCGUCUUCCUCUCUACACUCAGGUGGUGCCAUCCGUCAUCACACCCUGCCCUGUGGCCCCAUGGGAUACCUUAACACCCCCAGCCGCCUGCUUAAAGUUGACAUAAGGAAACUGUCUAUAUUCAUUGAAAUGAGGCUGUGAGGCGCACGUUAGAGGGAAAGGCAGGAUGUGGUACAGCGAUGUGGUGCGACACCUCACUGCCUCCAUCCUCCAUGGUUCAGUACUCUCAUAUAGCAGUUUGGAAUUAAAACCGAUCUACACCCUGCUUCCUGUUGACUCAUUUAAUUUAGCAUGUAACAGAUCUGAAGAUAAGUUAAUUUUUAUUCUGCUCCAUCACUGGAGUCUAUCAUCCUAUUUUGGUUGUUUAUGUCAACAGAGAUGUCAUCAUUUUCAAAUCUUCAAAAAAUAACAGUUUUCUUGAUGACCAUUUGACGGUUGAGGGUUCUUCACAUUUCAGCUCUGGGUGAAACCCAUAUUCUUUUUCAUAGAAAUAAUUAAGAAGUAUUAACAUAUACUCAACUUAACUGUGCCUAAAAUUACCUUUGUAAGAACCUGCACCUGAAAAAUUGUUUACUUCAUAACCAUUAAAAAGUGGUUCUUUAAAGAACAGUAUUAAAAGGAUAUUUAAGUAACUAAUAGGGGUUUAAAUUUAACUAACCCUCUAAAAGCCCCCAGGAACUUUCCUGUAUAAAACUCUACAAUUAUUUACAUAUACUGAUUAUUUCAAGGCCUGCUUGAAAAAAGUAUCUCAGGAGAACCAAAUGUACUCCAGAUAAAGGUGAGGGGUCAAAACAACUGUAGGAAAUAAGUAGUUUUGGAAAUAGUGAGGGGUAUUGUCUUGCCGGUGGGGGCGCUAAUGGGGCACAUUUUCAGUAAAGUCUCUGUUUUUGUUCAUCUUUUUUUUCAAUUUUAGAUGUUUUCUUUUUAUUCCUGUACUAUACCUAUUUUAAACCCUUAUUAACAAUAUUUCAACCAUCCUCUUAUGUUUUCUGUCCCACCUGAGUGACUGAGUGGCGGUGCCUCCUGCUGUGUCUGUAUUUAAUUUGGGAUUGGGUCACAGAGAUGGAUAGAGGCCUCUAGUGGCCAAAAGCCAGUUUUAACAUGAGCAAUGUCAUUCAGGAUGUUAUGGGUUGAUUAAGAAUCACGUAUUUACAUCCGGGUACAGAGGAGGAAUAAGCCAAUGAACUAUACUCCUGAGCAAACAUUUAAAAACGGCAGAUGGCAGUAGAUUGCUAAAAUUGGCUGUAAACAGGUUCUAACAACACAACCUACUGUAGAUGGCAUUUCGCACCCACCAAUAUAUUUAUCUAUUUAUAGAAGGAGUAAAAUAACAAUUAUUUCAAAAUGGAGGUGGCUUCAGCACUAUGCCUGUGCUCUCAUAGAUUCCAUAAUGAGUAAGAGAUCCAAUGCCUGGUCAAUUUUAUGAGUCACGUUAUUAACUUGAGAUUGGGCUAAUCUGUUUAAAUCACUGACAAUGAAGGGGUGCAAAGGGUGGAUUAUCACACGAUAGCAUAAGCUCUGUAGACAGCUUGAAGAACCACAAUAGCUCAGAGAUCCAAUCACACAGUGAGAGAAAAAAGGGCAUAAUACAGGAAUACAUUGGCCCUUCUCAGUGAUAGCAUACUAAAUGGAAAAAGAGGGAGAAGAAACCAAACAAGAAAUUAGAGAAGAAGAGGAUGUUGAAGAAGAGGAGGAGGAAACAUUAGCUGAGAGACAAGACGGGGAGGAGAAAUGGGGCAUGAAGGAGUGGAACGGAUUCAUCUCCGGAAGAGAGGAGGCAGUGGCCGAGCUGAAGCCUGGGGAAAGUGUGACUCCCCUGCAGGUCCUGAGACUGUCCGGAUACACCCGGGGUGAGUCUUCCCAGGAAACAGCUACACUUAGGUACAGAUCUAGGAUCAGUCAACCUUCCAGAAACCAAACAUUAAAACAGAAAAAAAGUUGAGAUAUCUAUACUGACCUUAGUCUAGAAACAAAUUGGUCUAAAAAUAACUUUUCAUUAUACCACUGAUUAGGGUAUGUUUUUUUGUAUGUGGCCAAGUUUUAUUUCCCAAAGACCCAGAGAUCCAAAAGUCUUCUUUAAGGUUUUUGGGAUUAAGUUAGAGUUACAGUGGGGAGAUUUACAAAGCAUGUAGAGGUUUGUCAUUUUUAUCAUAGGUACACUUCAACUGUGAGAGAUGGAAUCUAAAACAAAAAUCAAGAAAAUCACAUUGUAUGAUUUUUAAAUAAUUAAUUUGCAUUUUAUUGCAUGACAUAAGUAUUUGAUCACCUACCAACCAGUAAGAAUUCCGCCUCUCACAGACCUGUUAGUUUUUCUUUAAGAAUUUCUCCUGUUCUCCACAUAUUACCUGUAUUAACUGCACCUGUUUGAACUUGUUACCUGUAUAAAAGACACCUGUCCACACACUCAAACAAACAGACUCCAACCUCUCCACAAUGGCCAAGACCAGAGAGCUGUGUAAGGACAUCAGGGAUUAAAUUGUAGACAAGGCUGGGAUGGGCUACAGGACAACAGGCAAGCAGCUUGGUGAGAAGGCAACAACUGUUGGCACAAUUAUUAGAAAAUGGAAGAAGUUCAAGAUGACGGUCAAUCUCCCUCGGUCUGGGGCUCCACGCAAGAUCUCACCUCGUAACACAGGUUGGGUCUGCGUCAUGUUAAAAACUUUGUAGUAAAUAAAAAUCUCCAGGAAUUAUGUUACCAACUAUGUAUGGCAGAAGCAAAUGUAAUGUUCUGUAAAUCCCACUAGGUGGCUGUAAGUAUCAAUAAGAGUUUACUGUCUUGCUCAAGGACAUAACCAAUUUUUUCUUCACAUUGUCGUGAUUUCUUCUACCAAACAUUCAGUACUUUAGCGAUAGGCAUCAUUAUUUCAUAAUUGUCAUGUAAUGCUUGUUACACAUUUUUGGAUGCACUACAGAUGAUGUAUGUUAUCUGUGAACCCCUUCAUUCAAUAUUUAUACAAUCAACAAACUAUAAAGAAUAAAGUUAAUGC